CCUACGGGAGGCAGCAGUGAGGAAUAUUGGUCAAUGGGCGAGAGCCUGAACCAGCCAAGUCGCGUGAGGGAUGACGGCCCUACGGGUUGUAAACUUCUUUUGUCAGGGAGCAAUUGGGUCCACGCGUGGGCUUAGCGAGAGUACCUGCAGAAAAAGCAUCGGCUAACUCCGUGCCAGCAGCCGCGGUAAUACGGAGGAUGCGAGCGUUAUCCGGAUUUAUUGGGUUUAAAGGGUGCGUAGGCGGAAUAUCAAGUCAGCGGUAAAAAUUCGGGGCUCAACCCCGUCGUGCCGUUGAAACUGAUGUUCUUGAGUGGGCGAGAAGUAUGCGGAAUGCGUGGUGUAGCGGUGAAAUGCAUAGAUAUCACGCAGAACUCCGAUUGCGAAGGCAGCAUACCGGCGCCCAACUGACGCUGAAGCACGAAAGCGUGGGGAUCGAACAGGAUUAGAUACCCUGGUAGUC
rnacentral:rRNA from 1 species